CCUCUCUUUCAAGGAGGCGACGGGGAUUCGAAUUCCCCUGGGGGUA
rnacentral:tRNA from 1 species